rnacentral:rRNA from 1 species
UACGUAGGGUGCAAGCGUUAAUCGGAAUUAUUGGGCGUAAAGCGCGCGUAGGCGGUUACUUAAGUCGGAUGUGAAAGCCCUCGGCUUAACUGAGGAAGUGCACCCGAAACUGAGUAGCUGGAGUACGAAAGAGGGUCGCGGAAUUCCCGGUGUAGAGGUGAAAUUCGUAGAUAUCGGGAGGAACACCGGUGGCGAAGGCGGCGACCUGGGUCGAGACUGACGCUGAGGCGCGAAAGCGUGGGGAGCAAACAGG